CUCCUAACCUCGUGAUCCGCCCACCUCGGCCUCCCAAAGUGCUGGGAUUUCAGGUGUGAGCCGACACCCCGGCCUGAAAUUAAAGGUUUCUUAAGCGGCUGCCCACUGUGUGUGGUGAACCCGGGGCCAGAACACAGGUGGGACGCAGCCUCCCGAGCGUCAGAAGCCGCUGGCUCCACACGCCUGUCCGUCUAGUAAACGCGUUUUGGAGUCUCUGAUGGACGUGACUCUGAAUCCGGAAAGAAAGUGUCUCACUCCGAGAUGCUGACCGACGUGUCCUGUAUGGCGGUGGGACUCGGGAAGCCGGCGGCGCCCAGGGUGCAGGAUGGUCGUGACGCCCCUCGAUGGGGACACGGUGUAAAGGCGGCGUGGAAACUCAGCUCACGACCUUACGAUAAAUUGUAAAAUAAGGUUUUUACCUGGUGAGAUGAAAAGACCGGCAGGAGACUGCACCCCGGUAGGAUGAACAGAGGAGACUUUUAAACCUGAAGAAAUCGUCCAAAAAGCGACCACACGUUGGUGUCCUGCUUCGAGCUCCCCCCAAGAAUCUAAGCUUGGCCACCUGGGGCCCUAGGAAGGUACUGACAUUGUUCGAAGAACCGGUGCCUCCCGGCCAGAGCCGCUGUCUGGGGAUGCACGCCCUGUGGUCUCAAGCAGUCGUCUGUCCAGGACUUGCUCUGGGGAAGCAGACCUGGUCCCAGGCCACAGAGCUCGUCCCAGGGCUGCCCUGCCCUCCCACCCAGCCCAGUACACACACGGUUCCCUGGCCUGGCCUGGGCCCGAGCCUCUCGCAUGGUGGCGCUGGGUUUGGGACCCGAGUGUGGCCUCCGCAGAGCAGGCUCAGCCUGGCCCCACCCUACCCGAUCCCUGUCCGGUCCCCUCCCCAGCCUCCUCUCCUGGGCAGCCUCCCGAGGGGACCCGCAGGCAGGGCAUAGGAGGGCGGGGCCAAGCCCACUGGACCCCGGCAGAUGGCCACGGGCGCCCUUACCUGCCCAGCCCACAAUGUCCUGGGAGCCUGGGCCAGGAAGCAACAGUGGUGACCUGGCAACCAUCUCCUGGCAACCACCGUGGCAACUGUCUCCUGGCAACCACCACGAAGCCGGAGCCCAGAGUCCAGGACGAGGUGCUGCUGUGCCCUCCUCUGCAAACAGGAACGGGGGCUCAGAGAAGUCAGUGCCCCACAGAGGGGAACUCACAUCUGUCCGUCCAAACUGCACCAUUCUGUAAGCCCUCGCCGUGUCACAGACCUCGCGAAAGUGAAGCGUUCAGUGGGAGUUUGGGCCGUGAGGGACAGCCCACCCGACCUGACGUGAUCACACUCUGCUGGGAAAAACUCCAAGAACAUCACGAUUACCUUCUGCGGGAACAAGGGCCAUCAUGAAGCCCUACGGCCCAGGCCCCUCCCACCCAUACCUACGGGCACCCCAGCCCGUAGGCAGCGGUGGGCUCUGGCAUCAAGCUGGUCCCCGCCUGGCAGGUGUUUGCAGUGUACCUGUGUUGCUGUAAAGCUGCCCUUUAUCUGUGUGUG